GUGCCCAGUCACUGCUGACUCCAUACAUUAAAAGCACAACUACACAGAAAACUUUUUCAUUUCUGAAAAUAUUAAGAAAAGCUCAUAUGCUAGAAAUUUCAUGUAAAUCACAACUGUAUAAUAUAAAGUUUAAAAGUGUUAGCUUUGUGCGUUGUGAAAUGUAUUACAAUUCAGAAAUGUGAGGGCAAAAAACACUUCCUCAAUUUGUUAACACAGAGCAACACAAAAGACCAGAAAUACACCACCCUGCAGUCAGUGGAAAAUUUCAGACCAGUCAACAGCCUGUUUUAGAAGCGAAAAUGAUUUUCUUCUACAUGAUCAUUGCAACUCUGGCAACAUCUCUGGCAAAAGGGACUUUGGACUGCAAUAUAUCUGAAACAACUGCAGAUCACAAGUGUUUGGGAGAACUUGGGAAGCCACUGAUUUUCCACCUGCCCACUCAAAGAAAUACAAAGACAAGUCUGAAAAAGAAUACCGAUAUUAUUUUAAGGACAACUAAUAAAACAACAGAUAUAAAGGAUAAUUUCAAGAAUCGCCCUAUAUUCUACUCAAAUGGAACACUUAGGCUUAACAAUGCAACAAAGGGAGACUCCGGAGAUUACCAGCUGGACAUACAUGACGUUCCUGGUGGUAAACUACAGCGCACAGUCAAAAUCCAUAUAGAAAUACAAGGUAAGACCAAAAGGUUAAGUAUUUUCAUAAAUAAACUAUAACAUUCAUUUACAAAUCAGAUGUAAAAACUCUGCUGCAUAGGUACAAA
ensembl:lncRNA